GAUGAACGCUAGCGGCAGGCUUAAUACAUGCAAGUCGAGGGGGCAGCACGGUUAGCAAUAACUGGUGGCGACCGGCGCACGGGUGCGUAACACGUAUACAAUCUACCUUAAACAGGGGGAUAGCCUUUCGAAAGAGAGAUUAAUACCCCGUAAUAAAUUGAACGGCAUCGUUUGAUUUUGAAAGCUCCGGCGGUUUGAGAUGAGUAUGCGUCUGAUUAGCUAGUUGGUGAGGUAACGGCUCACCAAGGCGACGAUCAGUAGGGGAUCUUGAGAGGACUAACCCCCACACUGGUACUGAGACACGGACCAGACUCCUACGGGAGCAGCAGUAAGGAAUAAUUGGUC
rnacentral:rRNA from 1 species